CACGUAGGGGACGAGCGUUGUCCGGAAUCAUUUGGGCGUAAAGAGCUCGUAGGCGGCUCGGUAAGUCGGGUGUGAAACCCCCAGGCUCAACCUGGGGACGCCACCCGAUACUGCUGUGGCUAGAGUCCAGUAGGGGAGUGUGGAAUUCCCGGUGUAGCGGUGAAAUGCGCAGAUAUCAGGAGGAACACCGGUGGCGAAGGCGGAUCUCUGGGCCUUACCUGACGCUGAGGAGCGAAAGCAUGGGGAGCAAACAGG
rnacentral:rRNA from 1 species